rnacentral:rRNA from 1 species
AUUGAACGCUGGCGGUAUGCUUAACACAUGCAAGUCGAACGGUAACAGGCCUUCGGGCGCUGACGAGUGGCGGACGGGUGAGUAACGCGUAGGAAUCUGCCUCAUAGUGGGGGACAACGUGGGGAAACUCACGCUAAUACCGCAUACGCCCUACGGGGGAAAGCGGGGGAUCUUCGGACCUCGCGCUAUGAGAUGAGCCUGCGUUAGAUUAGCUAGUUGGUAGGGUAAAGGCCUACCAAGGCGACGAUCUAUAGCUGGUCUGAGAGGACGAUCAGCCACACUGGGACUGAGACACGGCCCAGACUCCUACGGGAGGCAGCAGUGGGGAAUAUUGGACAAUGGGCGCAAGCCUGAUCCAGCAAUGCCGCGUGGAUGAAGAAGGUCUUCGGAUUGUAAAGUCCUUUCGGCGGGGACGAUGAUGACGGUACCCGCAGAAGAAGCCCCGGCUAACUUCGUGCCAGCAGCCGCGGUAAU